rnacentral:rRNA from 1 species
AGUUUGAUCCUGGCUCAGGAUGAACGCUGGCGGUCUGCUUAACACAUGCAAGUCGAACGGGAUCCUUCGGGAUUUAGUGGCGGACGGGUGAGUAACGCGUGAGAAUCUGCCCUUAGGUUGGGGACAACAGUUGGAAGCGACUGCUAAUACCCAAUGUGCCGAGAGGUGAAAGGUUAACUGCCUGGGGAUGAGCUCGCGUCUGAUUAGCUAGUUGGAGUGGUAACGGCACACCAAGGCGACGAUCAGUAGCUGGUCUGAGAGGAUGAUCAGCCACACUGGGACUGAGACACGGCCCAGACUCCUACGGGAGGCAGCAGUGGGGAAUUUUCCGCAAUGGGCGAAAGCCUGACGGAGCAAGACCGCGUGAGGGAGGAAGGCCUAUUGGUUGUAAACCUCUUUUGAUAGGGAAGAACACAAUGACGGUACCUAUCGAAUCAGCAUCGGCUAACUCCGUGCCAGCAGCCGCGGUAAUACGGAGGAUGCAAGCGUUAUCCGGAUUUAUUGGGCGUAAAGCGUCCGUAGGUGGCAAACCAAGUCAGUUGUUAAAGCGUAGAGCUUAACUCUAUAAGGGCAAUUGAAACUGGUUAGCUAGAGUGCGAUAGGGGCAAGGGGAAUUCCCAGUGUAGCGGUGAAAUGCGUAGAUAUUGGGAAGAACAUCGGUGGCGAAGGCGCCUUGCUGGGUCUGCACUGACACUGAGGGACGAAAGCUAGGGGAGCGAAAGGGAUUAGAUACCCCUGUAGU